rnacentral:rRNA from 1 species
UAACGCGUAUGCAAUCUACCCUUUACUGGAGAAUAGCCCGGAGAAAUUCGGAUUAAUGCUCCAUAUGCUCGUAGGAUCUCCUGAUCCAGCGAGGAAAGCUCCGGCGGUAAAGGAUGAGCAUGCGUCCCAUUAGCUUGUUGGUGAGGUAACGGCUCACCAAGGCGACGAUGGGUAGGGGGCCUGAGAGGGCGAUCCCCCACACUGGUACUGAGACACGGACCAGACUCC